rnacentral:rRNA from 1 species
UACGUAGGGUGCGAGCGUUAAUCGGAAUUACUGGGCGUAAAGCGUGCGCAGGCGGUGAUGUAAGACAGUUGUGAAAUCCCCGGGCUCAACCUGGGAACUGCAUCUGUGACUGCAUCGCUGGAGUGCGGCAGAGGGGGAUGGAAUUCCGCGUGUAGCAGUGAAAUGCGUAGAUAUGUGGAGGAACACCGAUGGCGAAGGCAGCCCCCCUGGGCUAACACUGACGCUCAUGCACGAAAGCGUGGGGAGCAAACAGG